rnacentral:rRNA from 1 species
AUUGAACGCUGGCGGAAUGCUUUACACAUGCAAGUCGAACGGUAGAGGGGGCAACCCCUUGAGAGUGGCGAACGGGUGAGUAAUAUAUCGGAACGUGCCCAGUCGUGGGGAUAACGUAGCGAAAGUUACGCUAAUACCGCAUACGAUCUAAGGAUGAAAGCGGGGGACUCGCAAGAGCCUCGCGCGAUUGGAGCGGCCGAUAUCAGAUUAGGUAGUUGGUGGGGUAAAGGCUCACCAAGCCAACGAUCUGUAGCUGGUCUGAGAGGACGACCAGCCACACUGGAACUGAGACACGGUCCAGACUCCUACGGGAGGCAGCAGUGGGGAAUUUUGGACAAUGGACGCAAGUCUGAUCCAGCCAUUCCGCGUGCAGGAUGAAGGCCCUCGGGUUGUAAACUGCUUUUGUUACGGAACGAAAAAGGUUUGUCUUAAUACGAUGAGCUCAUGACGGUACCGUAAGAAUAAGCACCGGCUAACUAACGUGCCAGCAGCCGCGGUAAA